rnacentral:rRNA from 1 species
ACGAACGCUGGCGGCGUGCUUAACACAUGCAAGUCGAACGGAAAGGCCUCUUUCGGGGGGUACUCGAGUGGCGAACGGGUGAGUAACACGUGAGUAACCUGCCCUUGACUUUGGGAUAACUUCAGGAAACUGGGGCUAAUACCGGAUAGGAGCUCCUGCUGCAUGGUGGGGGUUGGAAAGUUUCGGCGGUUGGGGAUGGACUCGCGGCUUAUCAGCUUGUUGGUGGGGUAAUGGCUUACCAAGGCUUUGACGGGUAGCCGGCCUGAGAGGGUGACCGGCCACAUUGGGACUGAGAUACGGCCCAGACUCCUACGGGAGGCAGCAGUGGGGAAUAUUGCACAAUGGGUGGAAGCCUGAUGCAGCAACGCCGUGUGCGGGAUGACGGCCUUCGGGUUGUAAACCGCUUUCGCUCAUGACGAAGCUUUGUGUGACGGUAGUGGGUAAAGAAGCACCGGCUAACUACGUG